rnacentral:rRNA from 1 species
UAAAACAUGGUUUUUUGUUUAUAUAAAAAAUCUGGCCUGCUCAGUGAAUUUUAAAUAGCUGCAGUAUUUUGACUGUACAAAGGUAGCAUAAUCAUUUGUCUUUUAAUUGAGGUCUGGAAUGAAUGGUUUGAUGAAAAAUAUACUUUAUUUAUUUUUAAUAAAAAAUUUAAUUUUUGAGUUAAAAAGCUUUGAAAUUUUUUUAUAGGACGAGAAGACCCUAUAGAACUUUAUUUAUAUAUUUUUAUAUUUUUUCUAGAUUAUAUAUUUUUAAUAAAAAUAUAUAAAUUUUGUUGGGGUGACAAAAAAAAUAGAAUAACUUUUUUUUAUUUUUACAUUUAUUUAUGUAUAUUUGAUCCUUUACUUUGGAAAAAAGAAUAAGUUACCUUAGGGAUAACAGCGUUAUUAUUUUGGAGAGUUCAUAUCCAUGAGAUAGUUUGCGACCUCGAUGUUGGAUUAAAAUAAAAUAUAAAAGUAUAAUGUUAUAUUCUUGGUCUGUUCCACCUUUAAAUUUUUACAUGAUCUGAGUUCUCACCGGAGCAACGAUUAAAGUCCUACGU